AGUGCUGGGCCAGCAGCCAGGGGUGCUCCUGCCUGAGCCCCUGGGCCUGGCCCCACAGUGCCUGCUCCUCGUGCUGGGCCUUCUGCAGAGCUGUGCAGAGAGGUUCCGGAGGUGUCAGAACCCCCCAGAGCCACAGCCCCCCCCGAGCCCCACAGCCUCCGCCCUCAGCAGCCUGAGCCCAGGGCUCCCUCCCGCCCCUCCGGCGCCGAGCGCAAGGGGGCGCAGGUGCGGCAAGGCCCCGCCCAGAGCUGGCAGCCAGAGCCAAUGGGAGGCGUGGGCAGAGCGGCCCCGCCCCCAAGGGCGCUGUGGGCUCCGGCCCCAGGGGCGUGAGCGCCAUUUUGGCUGGUGCUGGGCAGCGUCGUGGGAGCGCUGGAGCAGAGGCUGUGGUGUGCGCGGGCAGCGCUGCGGGUGUGGAACGCUUAAGGAGACCCAGAAAGGUCUUGAAGUCUCUACAGAAGGAGUUGGAAGAGUUGCAGAAAGGUUUUAACAACUUCUGAUCCAGUUCCUGCUUCCUGAGCUACUGCUCUAGUUUCUGCAUCUAGAAUACAGCUCAAGCAUGAGAAGCAUUGCUGUGAGGCAGCAGCCAGAUGGAUCACUGUAAAGGUAGUGGCAUCUCAGGGCUCAGCCCAGCUGAGGAGCCUGAGAGAGCUGUCCCCAGGGAGGAGCAAGCUGCAGGCAGCUGAACGGCACAGAGAGACCCUUCAGCAGUACGUGGCAGGGGAGGUCUGUGCUGCAUGCUGUGGGCAUCACUGCUGAGGCUGCCACGGGAGCUUUUGUGCAGGCUGCUGUGGGAUGUGGGAGGCAGCUCUGGCUGUGCAGGUGAGAGCAGCUCAGUGCAAAGCCAGGGAGAGCUGAGGGCAGUGCAAGCAGGGAGGGAGAGACUUGCCUCCUGUGUGAGUGCCAUGAGUCACAGCAACUUGAUUGCAGAGUGGCACCCCAGGGGCACAGCUCUGCUGCUUGCCUUCACUCGUCCACAGAGCAUUGGGCAGAGGAGCCUGUGACUGCUGUCUGGGGCUGCUGGCAGACAAGGAAGAGCUCUUGCUCAGCUCACCUGAACUAAGGGCAAUGGAAGAUGCCAGGAGUCUGAAGCAGACUCAGUGGCUUGAGUCCAGCCCCAGCUCAUCACAAGCAGGAAACAGGAAUGGAGAUUGCUGGGGAGCAGGAAGGCAGCAGAGAGACAGACAGAGAGGAGCUGCCCCUGCUGUGAUGGGUCUGAGGCAGGAAGGGACAGUGGCUAAGCACCAAGCCCUGGGAGUGCUCAGCCCCACCCCUGAGGAGGGGUCAACAGCACCUGGGAUCAGGGUCAAGAUCACUGCCCCCAGGAGGGCUAACCCUGUACACUCUGUAGGGGUCUGUUAGGGUCUGCAAAGCUCUGUGAGGGGUCUGGAAGGGUCUGGAGGGGUACAUAAGGGUCUGCAGGGGUCUGGAUGGGUCUGGAAGGGGUCUGUGAGGAUCUGUGAGGGUCUGGGGGGAUUUGGAGGGAUCUGCAAUGGUCUGUAGGUAUCUAUAAAGGCUUGUAAAGGUCUGCAGAGAUCUGUAAAGGUCUGUGAGAUGUGCUAUGAAAUGAACCCCAAGGCUUCUGCAGAGUUGUGUGCAGGCAGGAAGGCUCCAUCCAUCCUGCCUCCCCCCUGCUGGCACAAGCCACAGUUGCUGUCCGCUGAGCUGCACAUCCAUAGUCAGAGGCAGGGUUGUCACAGUUGUUUCUGAGGGUUCAUUACCAGAGGCAUUUCCUCAUUCCCCACCCCCAUUCCCACCCACCCUGGUGGUCUGGAAGAGUUAUCCGCCAUGGGCACCCCACACAGCCUUCCUCCCAGGGUCUUUCUCAUCUCUGGUCAGCAGAAACUUCUUUGUCGCUUCUCGUAAUUGACAGACUCAAAAUUAAUUCAGUUCUAUCCUCCUCUGCUCUGCUCUGCUGAGACCCCACCUGGAGUACUGCAUUCAGCUCUGAAGCCCCUGGGACAAGAGGGAUGUGGAGAUGCUGGAGAGUGUCCAGAGCAGGGCCAGGAGGAUGCUCAGAGGGCUGGAGGUGAGGAGGAAGUUCUGCAGCAUGAGAGUGGUAUGAGCCUGCAAUGGGUUGCCCAGGGAGGGAGUUGAGGUCCCAUCCCUGGAGGUGUUUAAGGCCAGGCUGGAUGAGGCUGUGAGCAGCCUGCUCUAGGGUAAGGUGUUGUGGAGGGCCUGUGGGCCCGAAAGUAGGCUUACCUGUGCCUUAUCUUGCCUGGACAUGUUUUUCUGCCCAUAACCAGAGAUGAACACAUAACGAGCACAAAGGGGCACAACAGUCCUGGUGCCGUAAAGUCUGGCCUGCCCAGGCUUUCGGUUGUGUAAGCCCCACAUGCCCAGCUCAUGCCUGCCUAGUGUAAGGCCCGUGUGAUUCCCAUAUUUGGGAGGUCUAGGCCUGUAGCUUUUGCCUGUUGUGGUAAGGUUGGGCUGACUGCCAACCUGAUUGGUCAUUCUAGUGGCCAAGGAGCCAUUAAUCUCGGCCCACAUUUAAUAAAUACAGGUCAACAACGUGCUUGGGCUCCCCUGCAUGCUCGCUGAGACUCACCAGCACUGAUUUUGUUUAUGCCUGCCUGCAUACCUGUUUGUUUUGCUGUUAUUACUGAGAGAGAAUCUCCCAUAGUCUCCCAUGCAGCCGUGCACCCUACUGCACGCCCCCUGCCGCCUUAUUGCCUGGUGCAUGCCACUGCAGCCGAAUUACCAGGAAGCAGUCUCUGAAUUGUCUGCAUGCAAUCCGCCUGCAUGGCCAGCGUUACAUCAUGCUGAGACAGCACAACAUCCUGCCUCUGCACCUGAAGGUCUGUAUAGGGUUAACACUCCUGGGGGAGUAACCCUGAACCUGACCCUAGGGGUCUGGGCCACACUCCAGGUGAUGGUUAGCCCACUCCCCCCACUUCCUGUGGUAUAAAAGAGACAGGAGCUGCCUGUCUCAUGCUCUUUUUCCUCCGCUACCUCCUGACCCACACACUCAUACUGCAUACCAGCACACCACGUGGCAGCCACGAGGCAGAGACACCAUCACACUACUCAGGUUGUAUCCAUCCCUUUUUUGUAUCUUGCUGUUUUCCCUUCCUUAUCCUUUGUAAACUCCCCUACCUCCAAUCCCUUUUCUAAGUUAUUGUUAAACUUUUCCUUUUUUAACUUCCAAAUCGAGUGAGAUUGAUUGAUUUGGGUGUCCCUACCUUUCUCUCUCUCCCUGUCUUUUGGGAAAAGGAGGGGGAAGAGGGGAGGGCACUCUAUAAAUUCUAUAAAUUGUCAUUGGGUCUAUUAAAUUUCUUAGAGUCUCUGGGGAACCUGCAUUUGAACCCAAGACAAGGCCCUGCCUAAGAAUCCCUGGACAGCGCAUCCAGAAGAAGCCAGCAGCACAAGGUCAGAGACUGUCUUUUCCCCAGAAGCUGGGAGAAUUCCAGCCUCAGAGUCCCCAGGCAAAGCUCCCCUGAAAUGUGGACACUUGCAUAGGCUGUGAUGUAGCCCUGGAGGGUGAUUGAUAAUUAAUAAAAAAUUGUAAGUGAACACUUUAAUGCCUCUGUGAUUCCUGUUGUCUCUUGCCAUAGAGCAGAAAGAGCUUUCAGCCUACCUGCUGGGCAAAGCUGCAUAUUGACCCCAAGCAGCACUGAGCUGCGGGGAAAGUCCUCUCUCUGUUUAUAGUUUGGAUUGUUUGAUAGUUGUUAGUAAGUGAUGGUUUGAUAUUAAUCCUAGAAUGUCCUUCAUAACCAUGUAGGAUCCUUUUGUGAGAAAUAGAUGUUUGAUCUGAUCAAUUCAUGGCAAGAGGCCACAGACAGGUAGGGGAACUUUGAAUGGAGCUGCACUCCUCCUUGCACCACCAUCACAAAAGUGUGCGCUUGGCUUAAGAUAACGGAGUUAUAAACAAUUAGAAACUAGAAAGGUUGGUGGAGGAGGGAGGCAGGUGGAAGAGACAGCCUUUGCACAUGAGCAAACAGAGGAAGAGCCAUACAAAGGACACUACUAGUUUGGAGUUCAUGGAAAAGACACUUGAGGAAGACCCCUUACUUCAUCACUGAAGACCACCAGAGGGACCACUGGAUAAAAAGAGACAUGCGUGGAAGAGACACCUCCCAUUCUUGGAACUGAUAAGGAAAAUCCAACCUGUUCUUAGAAUUAGUAAUGAAUAUGUAAUAGAAUAGGAUAUAAAAAGAGAGAACUGAAAACAAAGGCUGUGUGUUAGGGUAGAGCAGAGCCUCCCUGUGCACCCAGGCCUGUACAUUGCUUGAUGCUUAUGACUCUAUUAAAAGCCUUAUUUUCUGUGAACAUAA